CUCCUGACCUUGUGAUCCACUAGCUUCGGCCUCCCGAAGUUCUGGGAUUACAGGCAUGAGCCACCACACCCGGAUGAAUUAUGCCAUUUUUAAGGCAAAGGUCUCCGUAACUAUUAAUUUCUCUGUCCUUCUAAUCUGUAUUCCCUGAGAAAUUAAUUGGGCUGGCAAGUCAAAGCCCUGAACCCCAGCUGCAGCUUUCUGAGCUUGUUCUGUCCAUCUGUGAAGUAAGGCAAUGAGAAGUGAGUCGGGGAACGGAACCCACGAUGCGUCAGAGGAGUGUUCCAGUUGCACACACACUCCCCAGCCACCUGGCAGCUCAGUCUAUAAUCUGGAGGCUUCCACAUCUACAGCUCCAUACAAAUGAACCUCUGGUUCUAAAGAAGUUUCUUCCUUGUCUGGUUCUCACUUUCUAAACCUCAGUCUCUGGAGAGAAAAGGAGUCCUGGAGGAUGAACAAGGCGAGCUUGGAGUAAUUUGGAAAAGCUAAUGUUGUAGGACAGAAGCAAAGCCUGCAAGUCACAGCCUAGGUUCCCUGAGUGAUGUUUUCAGCAGUAAACUGCAACUUCAAAGCUAA
rnacentral:lncRNA from 1 species